rnacentral:rRNA from 1 species
CAGCCGCCGCGGUAAUACCGGCGGCCCGAGUGGCGGUCACUAUUAUUGGGCUUAAAGCGUCCGUAGCCGGGUUGGUUAGUCUCCCGGGAAAUCUGGCCGCUUAACGGUCAGAAUUCCGGGAGAUACUGCCAGCCUAGGGACCGGGAGAGGCCGAGGGUAUUCCCGGAGUAGGGGUGAAAUCCUAUAAUCCCGGGAGGACCACCUGUGGCGAAGGCGCUCGGCUGGAACGGGUCCGACGGUGAGGGACGAAGGCCAGGGGAGCAAACCGGAUUAGAUACCCGGGUAGUCCUGGCUGUAAACGAUGCGGACUUUGUGUCGGACAAGCUAUGAGCUUGUCCGGUGCCGGAGGGAAACCGUUAAGUCCGCCGCCUGGGGAGUACGGCCGCAAGGCUGAAACUUAAAGGAAUUGGCGGG